rnacentral:rRNA from 1 species
GCAGUCGCCGCGGUAAUACAGAGGGUGCGAGCGUUAAUCGGAUUUACUGGGCGUAAAGCGUGCGUAGGCGGCUAAUUGAGUCGGAUGUGAAAUCCCCGAGCUUAACUUGGGAAUUGCAUUCGAUACUGGUUAGCUAGAGUGUGGGAGAGGAUGGUAGAAUUCCAGGUGUAGCGGUGAAAUGCGUAGAGAUCUGGAGGAAUACCGAUGGCGAAGGCAGCCAUCUGGCCUAACACUGACGCUGAGGUACGAAAGCAUGGGGAGCAAACAGGAUUAGAUACCCCAGUAGUCCCUGUCUCUUAUAC